GACGAACGCUGGCGGCGUGCUUAACACAUGCAAGUCGAACGGAAAGGCCCUGCUUUUGUGGGGUGCUCGAGUGGCGAACGGGUGAGUAACACGUGAGUAACCUGCCCUUGACUUUGGGAUAACUUCAGGAAACUGGGGCUAAUCCCGGAUAGGAGCUCCUGCUGCAUGGUGGGGGUUGGAAAGUUUCGGCGGUUGGGGAUGGACUCGCGGCUUAUCAGCUUGUUGGUGGGGUAGUGGCUUACCAAGGCUUUGACGGGUAGCCGGCCCGAGAGGGUGACCGGCCACAUUGGGACUGAGAUACGGCCCAGACCCCUACGGGAGGCAGCAGUGGGGAAUAUUGCACAAUGGGCGGAAGCCUGAUGCAGCAACGCCGCGUGCGGGAUGACGGCCUUCGGGUUGUAAACCGCUUUCGCCUGUGACGAAGCGUGAGUGACGGUAAUGGGUAAAGAAGCACCGGCUAACUACGUG
rnacentral:rRNA from 1 species